rnacentral:rRNA from 1 species
GACGAACGCUGGCGGCAUGCCUAAUACAUGCAAGUCGAGCGAACAGAUGAAGUGCUUGCACUUCUGACGUGAGCGGCGAACGGGUGAGUAACACGUAAGGAAUCUACCUAUAAGCGGGGGAUAACAUUCGGAAACGGGUGCUAAUACCGCAUAAUAUCUUCUUCCGCAUGGAAGAAGAUUGAAAGACGGCUCUUCUGUCACUUAUAGAUGACCUUGCGGUGCAUUAGUUAGUUGGUGGGGUAAUGGCUUACCAAGAGGAUGAUGCAUAGCCGACCUGAGAGGGUGAUCGGCCACAUUGGGACUGAGACACGGCCCAAACUCCUACGGGAGGCAGCAGUAGGGAAUCUGCCGCAAUGGGCGAAAGCCUGACGGAGCAAUGCCGCGUGAGUGAAGAAGGCCUUCGGGUCGUAAAACUCUGUUAUAAGAGAAGAACAAAUUGUAGAGUAACUGCUACAGUCUUGACGGUAUCUUAUCAGAAAGCCACGGCUAACUACGUGCCAGCAGCCGCAGUAA